rnacentral:misc_RNA from 1 species
GUGAAUCAUCAAAUUUUUGAACGCAAAUUGCACUUUCUUGUAUUCCGGUAAGUAUUCCUGUUUGAGGUUCAGUUAAUUAAAAAUCGGUUUUGUUGCUGCCUUUCUUGGUGACGCUUCGGAAUUGGUUCGUCUUACCUUCGGUUAAGUUACUUAAAAUUUUUGCAUUAUUUUCUAACGUAUUUAAAUCGUUUAUGUACGUUUUAUAUAUCGAAUUCUUAUUGGGUUCGGUCAGCC